AUGCUCACUUUGGCAGUACAUAUACUAAAAUUGAAAUGAUACAGAGAAGAUUAGCGUGGUCCCUACACAGGGAUGACAUGCAAAUCCACAAGAUUAUAUAUUUCUAG
ensembl:snRNA U6 U6 spliceosomal RNA